rnacentral:tRNA from 1 species
UCCCUGGUGGUCUAGUAGUUAGGACUCUGCAUUUUCAGUGCGGCGGCCUGGGUUCAAUCCCUGGUGGGAGAC